UCUAGAACUCGAGAUAUAGGCUGAACACUGAAUAGUAUAUGGGCUGCAGGACAGAUUCCGACUUCUCUGUUGUUGCUACAAUUUGAACUUGAAAAUGGUCUUUUUGAAUCUUGGACUCUGUAUCAAAGUUUUAGGCCUAUGUCUUAACUUUCCAUA
rfam:Populus trichocarpa scaffold_4_contig_147, whole genome shotgun sequence.